rnacentral:misc_RNA from 1 species
GACAAAUCUCACUCUUGUUGUCUGCAAGGGAAAAACGAUGUGAAUCAAUAAGUAAUGCCGGCCUGAUAGAUGCUAAAUGAAUGAACGAGAUCAAGGAAAUUAAGAUAAUAAGCAGAAUGAACAGAUGAUCUGUUACUAGAUCCGGUGCAAUAGAAGAAGCUCCCUGUUAUAACUUGGAUGUCAUGGGGUUCAACUCUUGACAGAUGAUUCUGAGGUUAUUUUCCUUCUUUUUUGGGUUAUUGGUCAUCCCAUCAGCUUAUGCACAUCUCGACUUAU